CGGCCGGUUCCUGACAGGCCACGGACCAGUCCCGGCGCCUGGCCCCCGCGGGGGCGGGGCUGGGACCCCUGUUCUGAGGCCUGGUCUUUCUGUGUCCUUGCAGCAGUGACUUCUGCUUGCUAAACCUGCGUGCUCACAGAAGUCAACUGGCAGUGACCGGAACUUCCUCAGACUUGGACAGACGACGCUCUUUCACCUGAAAGAUGUCCAAUUCAUCACCAAAUCCUGUCACAUCUAAAUUUCAAAGAUAUCUAUGAUUCUGUGACCUCUCUCCAGCUCCACCGUUAUCUGCCUGGUGCAAGAUGUACCGUUAGGUUGUCUCCGUGUCUUGGCUGUUGUGGAUGAUGCUACAGUGAACACGGGGGUGCAGAAACCUCCCUGAGGUCCUGAUUUCAUCCUUUCAGACGUAUACCCAGAAGUGGGAUUGCUGGAUCAUGUGGUAGUUACAUCUGUAAUUUUUUGAGGAAUCGCCAUACUCUUUUUCACAGUGCUCUACAAAUUUGCAUUCCCACCAUCAGCGCACAAGGGCUGCCUCUCUCUACAUUCUUGCCAAUACUUAAUCUCUUGUUGUUUUGAUAAUAAAUACCCUAAUGGAUAUGAAGUGAUACCUUGUGAUUUUGAUUUGCAUUUCCCUGAUGAUUAGUGAUGUUGAGCAUCUUUUCAUGUACCUGAUGACCAUGUGGAUGUCUUUUUCUUUGGGAAAAAUGUCUGUUCAGAUCCUCUGCCUAUAAUUUAAUUGGAUUAUUUGUUCUUUUGCUGUUGAGUUAUAUUAGUUCUUUAUAUAUUUUGGAUAUUAACCUAAAUACUACCAGUAGAUGAUUUGCUAAUAUUUUCUCUCACCCAUAUGUUGCCUUUUCACCUUAUUCAUUGUUUCUUUUGACAUGUGGAAGCUUUUAAGUUUGGUAUAGGCCUACUCAGAGAGCUCAGAUAACUUGCCGACAGUCACACAUGCAUUAAUGCUAGAAUUAGCAACUCAAACCCAGGAUCUGUCUGUGCUGUCAGCCUUCAUACAGACUACCUCACAUCUCAACAAGGGAAAACAGACUGGACUUGUUUGUGUGACUCCAAACGGGUAGAAUUAGAAGAGAGAUUCAGGGACACAGAUAUCAGCUCAAUAUUCAAAAGUUUUCUCUCAAAAGAAAAAAUUAAAACUGUCCGUUGGAAGAUAGCAGAUGUCCCUCUGCAUAUUUCGUGUCGGUUCGGUGAUGUUCUGUGAUGUCUGAGAAAUCUCAGACUUCAGUACACGUUGGACUCACCUGGGGGAGCUUCGUGGGACAGAUUCCUGCUUUCACCCCUAGAGAUUCAGGUUCAGGUGGGCUGGUGAGACUCGUCAGUUUGCGUUUCUGUCAGGCUUCUGGGUAGUGCCGGUGCUUCUGGUCUAAGAUCAUACAUGGGGAUUUCUUCAGACCCUAAAAUCUUGUUACUUUUAUAGAGUCAUACUCUACAAAGCAGAUGAAUUAUGUGUUCUGCACAACCUCUCUCAAGGAAUGGCAGCCAUAAUGCCCCUAAGCCAUACAACAAGGCUUGUUUGUUUUUCCGAUUUACCAGUCAGUAGAGUGAACCACAUCUUUUAAAGUAGAUGUUCAUGGUUUUCUUUAAAUUCCCAAGGUUUACUCAUAUAUUAGAGACAGUUUUUUUUUAAGAAAUCCAUAUAUAUUUCUGAUAAACAAUGAAUAAAAGCAGACCUCCUUAAAUUAUGAGACAAGAAACUGAUAAAUCUUAUUAGUACAUUCACAUUAUCCAAGAGGAAGUGUAGUUUUCUAACAGUGAUGCACUCUUCAGCCGUCUAGCUCAAUUUGGAUUGAAAAGUAGAAAUGCUAUUGUCUGCCAAGAAAUAAGGACAACGACCAUAUAUUGUAAACUGUACUUCAUUGUUUUCCACAGUGGCAAACAUGGUGUUAAAUAGUGUGAAUUUUUCAAAACUUCUGAACUCUUCUCAUAUCUACCUUUAAGGGCAGCUUUAUCUGUUUUUCACUCCCACUUUUUGAUGAGGUUAAAACUGCUGUCCUUAAAGUAGGCAAAAACACUCCAAAGUAAAAUAUUAAGGAGAAAAAUAGGUCCCUGUGGAUUGCACCGUUGGCGCUCUCCUUCCUGGAGGGCGGCUGAUACAGUGCCUACAGCUGCUUUAUUACACACCGGCUCGUCCUCUGCGCCUCCGAACAGCCAGCAUCUCCAUUUGAGAACCGCAAGUGGCUUUUAAGUGAUAAGAUAGAGUUUAGCUGCUGUAUUUUAUGACAUAAUUCAGUUGGUGUUCCUUUACAGAGUGCCACUGGCUGGCCGACUUUAAACAGUCAUAAACAUUUGAUGGUGGAGUAAUUUAAUUUAAUGAUUUCUUUAAUCUUCAAAUUGCGAGACUGUUUUCAAAAUAUUUUGUUGCCAUGUGAUCUCCUUUCAACCCACAGGAUUAAUAAUUGAUGUUGAAAUAUGGAUGGGAAAAAAAUUGACAAUGGAC